rnacentral:rRNA from 1 species
UACGUAGGGGGGCAAGCGUUGUCCGGAAUCAUUGGGCGUAAAGAGCGUGUAGGCGGCCCGGUAAGUCCGCCGUGAAAGUCCAGGGCUCAACCCUGGGAUGCCGGUGGAAACUGUCGGGCUCGAGUCCGGAAGAGGCGAGUGGAAUUCCUGGUGUAGCGGUGAAAUGCGCAGAUAUCAGGAGGAACACCAAUGGCGAAGGAG